AUUGAACGCUAGCGGGAUGCCUUACACAUGCAAGUAGAACGGAGUAGCGAACGGGUGAGUAAGGUAUCGGAACGUGCCCAGUAGCGGGGGAUAACUACGCGAAAGCGUAGCUAAUACCGCAUACUAUUUGAGCGGCCGAUAUCGGAUUAGCUAGUGGGUGGGGUAACGGCUAACAAGGGCGAUGAUCCGUAGCUGGUUUGAGAGGACGACCAGCCACACGGGGACUGAGACACGGCCCAGACUCCUACGGGAGGCAGCAGUGGGGAAUUUUGGACAAUGGGGGAAACCCUGAUCCAGCCAUCCCGCGUGUGCGAUGAAGGCCUUCGGGUUGUAAAGCACGUUUGGCAGGAAAGCGGUACCUGCAGAAUAAGCACCGGCUAACUACGUGCCAGCCGCCGCGGUAAUUC
rnacentral:rRNA from 1 species